rnacentral:rRNA from 1 species
UAAUACGUAGGGCGCAAGCGUUGUCCGGAAUUAUUGGGCGCAAAGAGCUCGUAGGCGGCUUGUCACGUCGGGUGUGAAAGCCCGGGGCUUAACCCCGGGUCUGCAUUCGAUACGGGCUAGCCAGAGUGUGGUAGGGGAGAUCGGAAUUCCUGGUGUAGCGGUGAAAUGCGCAGAUAUCAGGAGGAACACCGGUGGCGAAGGCGGAUCUCUGGGCCAUUACUGACGCUGAGGAGCGAAAGCGUGGGGAGCGAACAGGAUUAGAUACCCUGGUAGUCCACGCCGUAAACGGUGGGAACUAGGUGUUGGCGACAUUCCACGUCGUCGGUGCCGCAGCUAACGCAUUAAGUUCCCCGCCUGGGGGGUACGGCCGCAAGGCU